GCUAAUUCCGUGCCAGCAGCCGCGGUAAUACGGGAGUGGCAAGCGUUAUCCGGAAUUAUUGGGCGUAAAGCGUCCGCAGGCGGCCUUGUAAGUCUGUCGUUAAAGCGUGGAGCUUAACUCCAUUUCAGCGAUGGAAACUACAAGGCUUGAGUGUGGUAGGGGCAGAGGGAAUUCCCGGUGUAGCGGUGAAAUGCGUAGAUAUCGGGAAGAACACCAGUGGCGAAGGCGCUCUGCUGGGCCAUAACUGACGCUCAUGGACGAAAGCCAGGGGAGCGAAAGGGAUUAGAUACCCCUGUAGUCCUGGCCGUAAACGAUGAACACUAGGUGUCGGGGGAAUCGACCCCCUCGGUGUCGUAGCUAACGCGUUAAGUGUUCCGCCUGGGGAGUACGCACGCAAGUGUGAAACUCAAAGGAAUUGACGGGGGCCCGCACAAGCGGUGGAGUAUGUGGUUUAAUUCGAUGCAACGCGAAGAACCUUACCAGGGUUUGACAUCCUGCGAAUCCCUUGGAAACGAGGGAGUGCCUUCGGGAGCGCAGAGACAGGUGGUGCAUGGCUGUCG
rnacentral:rRNA from 1 species